AUGAACAAAAACAAAAUGUUGUCCUGUUAUUGUCAUUGUACUUAAGGUUGCCAUGGCUACAGAAAUUGGAGGAGCAUCCUUAGAUGACACAAUACAACCAGCUGUGCGAUUCCUCAUGUCCCAUGAACUGGAAGUCCAGUUCAACCUUUUUGGCCAACAUUGGAAACAAGCUCUUGGACCUGCGUCUCUUUGAUGUUUUGUAUGGGGACUUAAAAGAAAUUAUCCAUCUACAGAAUCACACAAGCAUACAGCAAAGACUCUCGAAGUGGUUUACUGGAGCCCGAGUGGAAGUGGAAAUAGACUAGAGAGACUGCCAGUUCAAACUCAGGUUGGGAGGUCUUUCAAGAUGGACAGUUUCAGUAAAGUAUGAGAGAUUUCAAAUUUAAGCAUGCAUAUGGCAUGUAGGUUAUUUUUAAAAAUGUUUAACAAAAAUGUAUUGUGAAAGAUCUAUAUAGGUGUGUAUAUUCACAUUGUGUGUAUCAAUGUGAAUAUACGUGUAUAAAGUUAUAUAGAUAGUAUUUAGAUGUAUACAUUUAUAGACCUGUAGGAAAAUAUGUAGGUGUCUUUAUUUGUGUGCAUCUAUAGAUAUAUAUUUAUAGAUCUGUUUAUAAGUUUGUUAUAGUAAACUAGCUUCUGUUAUUUUCAAAGAUGUCGUGAAUAAUUGCAGAUUUCUUUUUGUGGCACCAUUCCCUGAGUAUUAAUGAAGUUCUAAUAAUUGCUGUAGUGAGGUAAAAAAUAACUCCUGACAAUAUUUUAAAUUACUAAAUAAAAGCCUUGAGCAAAAUAAA